rnacentral:tRNA from 1 species
GCCGGAGUGGUGAAAUUGGUAGACGCAGAGGACUCAAAAUCCUCCGGGCCCUGUGCCCUUGAGAGUUCAAGUCUCUCCUCCGGCACCA